rnacentral:rRNA from 1 species
AUGUCGAGCACCCACGGCCACGGCCACGGGGGAAGCAGCGGCGCCGGCUACUGCGCAACGACCAAAUCGUUCGUCAGCCUUCGCCCGCCGCUGCCGGCGGCGGAAGUCCCACUCACAUUCCCGGCCUUGGUGCUGUCGCUGCUGCCGUCGCCUCUCCCCACCCAGCCCGCGCUCCUCGACGCCGCCACCGGCGAGGCCAUCUCCUACCCGGCCUUCCUGUCCCAGGUGCGCGCGCUCGUGGGCGCCCUGCGAUCGCGCCUGGUCCCGCUCGGCCGCGGCGACGUGGCCUUCGUCCUCGCUCCCGCGCGGCUCGACGUGCCCGUGCUCCACUUGGCGCUCCUCGCCGUCGGCGUGGUCGUGUCCCCGGCCAACCCGGCCCUCACCGCCGGCGAGGUGUCGCGCCUCGUGUCCCUGUCCGGCGCGUCCGUCGCCUUCGCCGUCUCCUCCACCGCCGCCAAGCUCCCCGCCGGCCUCCCCACCGUCCUCCUGGAUUCCACGCACUUCCGCUCCCUCCUCCACCUCCACAACGGCAGGGAUGAAAAGGAGCCGGCGCCGCUGGAGCUGGACAGUACUGGAGUAGUGUGCCAGUCGGCGACAGCGACGAUCCAUUAUUCCUCUGGCACCACAGGGCCGGUGAAGGCGGUGGCGGUGCCGCACCGGAGCUUGAUCGCGCAGGCCUUGGGGUUCCACGCCCUGCACCUGCACGUCAAGUCGCGGAAGGUGAAGGAGAGGACUCUGAUGGGUGCUCCCAUGUUCCACGCCAUGGGUUUCUUCUUCGCGCUCAACGGGCUGGCGCGGGGACUCACCACUGUUGUGAUGACGGACACCGGGACGGGGACGGGGUUAAGGGGGAUGCUGGGGGCAGCAGAGCGGUGGGAGGUGACGGAGAUAAUGGCGUCGCCUCCCGUGGUGCUGGGGAUAACCAAACACCCGCGCCGGCUGACGAGUCUGCUGCGGGUGAUCUGCGGCGGCGCCCCUCUGCCAGGAUCGGUGGCGGAGCAGUUCCGGCGGCGGUUCCCUCACGUCGAUCUCUGCGUGGGUUAUGGCUCAACGGAGACUGGGGGCAUAUCCUUGAUGAGCAAUCAGGAGGAGUGUUCCCGCGUAGGCUCCACCGGCCGCAUCUACCACAACGUCGAGGUGAGGAUCGUCGACAUCGUCACCGGCGAGCCCUUGUCGGUCGGCCAGAAAGGGGAGCUGUGCGUGAGAGGUCCUUCCAUCAUGACAGGUUACGUAGGCGACAACGAGGCGAACGCGGCCGCUUUCGAUUCGGAAGGCUGGCUGAGGACCGGCGACUUUUGCUACAUUGAUGAGGAUGGGUUUGUGUUCAUUGUCGAUAGGCUCAAGGAGUUCAUCAAGUACAAGGCCUAUCAGGUCGCACCUGCAGAGCUGGAGCUUAUCCUGCAAUCACUGCCAGAAAUUGCUGACGCCGCUGUUAUGCCAUAUCCUCAUGAAGAGGCAGGAGAGAUACCAAUGGCGCUCGUGGUGAGGCGACCCGGAAGCAAGGUCACUGAGGCACAAGUCAUGGAGCAUGUGGCGAAGCAGGUCGCGCCGUACAAGAAGGUGCGCAAGGUGGUGUUCGUCGACUCCAUACCCAAAUCGCCGGCUGGGAAGAUCUUGAGGAGGCAGUUGCCAAACCUUGUGCCGUCGUGUCAUGUGUCGAGACUGUGA